GCUGGAUGUGGUGGCGUGCGCCUGUAGUCCCAGCUGCUUGGGAGGCUGAGGCUGGAGGAUCACUUGCACCUUAGAGUUCUAGGCUUUAGUGUGCUAUGCCCAUCGGGUGUCCGCACUAAGUUCGGCAUCAAUAUGGUGACCUCCUGGGAGCGGGGAGCCACCAGGUUGCUCAAGGAGGGUUCAACCGGCCCAGGUUGGAAACGGAGCAGGUCAAAACUUCUGUGCUGAUCAGAAUAAAUGUAUUUCUAUUUCAUUUUAGUGAAAUCCUUUCUUUU
rnacentral:SRP_RNA from 1 species